AGCCUGAACGCUGGCGGCGUGGCUAAGACAUGCAAGUCGAACGGGUGUAGCAAUACACCAGUGGCGGACGGGUGAGUAAUAAAUCGCUAAUGUACCCCGGAGCCAGGGAUAGCCUUCCGAAAGGGAGGGUAAUACCUGAUGAGACCACGAACAGGCAUCUGUUUGUGCUCAAAGCCGUAAGGCACUCUGGGAGCAGGCGAUUACGUAUCAGCUUGUUGGUGAGGUAACGGCUCACCAAGGCGACGACGCGUAGCUGGUCUGAGAGGACGGCCAGCCACAUUGGGACUGAGACACUGCCCAGACUCCUACGGGGGCUGCAGUAACGAAUCUUCCGCAAUGCACGAAAGUGUGACGGAGCGACGCCGCGUGUAGGACGAAGUCCUUCGGGAUGUAAACUACUGUCAGGGGUAAGAAAGUUCUGAUCUACCCAGAGGAAGAGACGGCUAACUCUGUGCCAGCAGCCGCGGU
rnacentral:rRNA from 1 species